CAGCCGCCGCGGUAAUACAGAGGGUGCGAGCGUUAAUCGGAUUUACUGGGCGUAAAGCGUGCGUAGGCGGCUUUUUAAGUCGGAUGUGAAAUCCCUGAGCUUAACUUAGGAAUUGCAUUCGAUACUGGGAAGCUAGAGUAUGGGAGAGGAUGGUAGAAUUCCAGGUGUAGCGGUGAAAUGCGUAGAGAUCUGGAGGAAUACCGAUGGCGAAGGCAGCCAUCUGGCCUAAUACUGACGCUGAGGUACGAAAGCAUGGGGAGCAAACAGGAUUAGAUACCCGAGUAGUCCAUGUCUCUUAUAC
rnacentral:rRNA from 1 species